GCCGGGCGUGGUGGUGUGCGCCUGUAAUCCCAGCUACUCAGGAGGCUGAGGCAUGAGAAUCACUUGAACCUGGGGAUCAGGGGUUUCCGUGAGCUGAGAUCGAGCCACUGCACUCCAACCUGGGUGACAGAGUGAGAUUCUGUCUCAA
rfam:Pongo abelii chromosome 19.